UUGAGGCGCAUGAAACUCCUU
rnacentral:siRNA from 1 species